AAUCCCCACACAAACAGCUUAAAUCCACAUGAAAACAGCUACCACAGGCACCUGUUUACUAAUGUACCAAAGCAACAGAGGCAUGCAGAAUGAGAACUCAUACCUGAUCACUUACAAGGUACUUUAGUUCUUCUUGUUCCUAAUAAAUGCCAAUGAUGGGGUCCCGUUUGUUAUGUUGCUAAUUUGCCUAUAUGAUCAUCAGUUAGUCAAUUAAAUGACAAUAAUAAAAGAUAAAUGUAGUUAAAUUGGAAAUGACCAAGCAAUGUGAAUACACAGAUCGGUUAGGGUUACACAUGGUUAUAAACAAUACAAAGCUAUGUAUCUUUAAAAGAGAGAGA